rnacentral:hammerhead_ribozyme from 1 species
AUCCAGCUGACGAGUUCCAAAUAGGAUGAAACGCACAUCAAACUAGAU